GCCUGGGUGGCUCAGUAGGUUAAGAGCCUGACUCUUGAUUUUGGCUUAGGUCAUGAUCUCAUGAUUUGUGAGAUCAAGUCUUGCUUCAGGCU
rnacentral:tRNA from 1 species